AUGAGCGCGUUCUGGUGAACAACGCCGUCUCCAAAGCGGCGAAGGAGAGUUCGAUUCUGCUCCGCUCAUGCCA
rnacentral:tRNA from 1 species